rnacentral:pre_miRNA from 1 species
CGGACGGUAUAUGGGUUAAUAUUUCAUUUGUCGAAUAUAUUGCACAUUCACCGGCCUGA